rnacentral:rRNA from 1 species
AAUAUCAAAAUAGGCGAUGUCUUAAAGUUAACUAAUAAAAGAAAGAUCUUUUAAAUAACGAUAUUAAAGUAACCAUUAAAGAAAAUAAAUUUACAGCCGAUAGAGAAAAGUACUGCAAAGGAAAUUAUUUAAAUUUAAUUAAAGAAGAUAUAAAUAAUCGUACCUUGUGUAUCAGGGUUAAGCAAAAUAAUCUCUAAAUUUAAGAAAUCCCGAAAGAUAGUGAGCUAUCGUGAUGAAAAGUGAGCGUAGUAACGCUCUUAUUAACCUCACGAUUGAAGUGAAAUGCUAUACGAACUAUCUAAUAUCUGGUUACCUAAGAAAUGAAUUCAAUUCAGUUCRCCAAAUUAAUUACAAAAAUAAURAUUGAAAUUUUAAUGGCGAAUUAAACGGCAGAGGGAUGAGCUUCUACCGUGUUAAUCAAUAAAGAUGAAAAUUUUUUAUUCUAAAAAAGCAUAGCUAGGCUUAAAAAUAGCCUUUCUAAAAGCAUAUGUUAUAAUGCAUGCUUAUGUAAAAAUAAUUUACUUAAAUUUCAUCUCAUUUAUUAGGUCCAAUCAUAAAACAACAGAAUGAUAGUGAUAAUGCUUAAAUUAGUAGAAUUUCUUUAGUAAAUGAAUACAAUUAAUAAAAUAAACAAUUACUAUAAAAGAAGCAAGRUAUCUUAAAGGAACUCGGCAAAACUUUAUCCGCCUGUUUACCAAAAACAUCUCUUAUUAAAAUAAUAAGUACCGCCUGCUCAAUGCGUUAGUCAAUAGCCGCGGUAUACUGACCGUGCAAAGGUAGCAUAAUCAUUUGUCUCUUAAUUAGAGGCUGGAAUGAACGGCGCCACGAGAUAAAAGCUGUCUCUAAGAUAAUAAUCGAACUUCAUUUCUUGGUGAAAAAGCCAAGAUAAUUCUAAAGGACGAUCAGACCCUAUAGAGCUUUAAUUAACUUUUAGACAAAAGUAUUACCGUAAAACUGUAACCAAAAGUUAAUUUUUGUUGGGGCGACAGAGAGAAAAUAAAUAACACUCUUUUUUUNAAAAAUACUUAUUAGUAAAUAAAGGAUCCUUAAAUCAAGAUUAAAAGACUAAGUUACCUUAGGGAUAACAGCGUAAUCUUUUUAGAGAGUUCAUAUCGAUAAAAAGGUUUGCGACCUCGAUGUUGGAUUAGAAAUUCAGUAAGGUGCAGCAGCUUUACAGGAGAGUCUGUUCGACUCUUAAUAUUCUACAUGAUCUGAGUUCAAACCGGCGUAAGCCAGGUUGGUUUCUAUCCUUAGAACAAAAAUUCUUAUUUAGUACGAAAGGACCAAUAAGAAAAAGUAAUGCUUUACAAAUAUGAAUAUCAUUAAUUAGUAUAAAAGUAAAAUUAAUUAGGCAGAGGAGUGCUUU